UCACGGUCGUUGAGUCUGACAGGUCUGUCGUCGUCGGGACAUUGUUGUUGUUGUUGUUGUUGUAUCCCAUCGUCCACCGCUCACACACACAUCUUUACUAGUCGCACACACGCUUUCAACCUUUCUGUUCUUCAGCAAAAAAUAAAAGAGACUUUCCAGACGGGAGGCAGGCAGUCAGGCAGACAUACAGACAGACACUAAGAAACAAACAAACAUAAACAGCAUCGGAAAUGACAAAAUAUGAAAUGACGAGUAGAUGUGAACUAAAUAAAAUGUGUUUGCAAAUAUGUAUGAUGAAUCUUAUUGCAUUAACUUCCCUCGCUUUUUAUUUCCCCAUUUCUCUAUUUUUCUCUAGUCCCGCCUCGCUCAUUGCCCAUUUUUUCUCAUCAACAAAGACACACCGCCGACCACAAAUCACUUCAAUAUAUCAUUUCUCUCGCCUCCAUAUCUUCACAACCUUCAGCCACACCAGCGGCGCAACCAUCGACAACCGGCAAUGAACCUUUCAUGCACUGUUGUCUCUUGACAGACUCCAUUAAUGACAUUCCACACAAACACUCUACCCCGAGUACUCAACUUUUUUCUCCUUUCCGUCAAAAUAAAUCUUGGGCAGACAUAAUGUACAGUGCUAGAGGAGAAAUAAGUUAACAGGGAAUGUUGGAGCUGGAGGGAACCUUACAUUACAGGGAGGCUGCGUCGUCAGCAUCCGUCACUCUCAAGACAUCGCUUAUCACACACCCGAGGACAGCUCACAGUUUACUGCGGGCCGUAAACACUCAAACAUCUGUAAACGGUCUGCUUGCCGGCAUAUCUCAUGGGGAUGACUUGCUUCUCGCCUGUCUCCUUCUCUCUCUCAACACACACACCCACACACACCCCAUUACAAAGUAAAGCUCACGCAGUGUUCACAGUGUUCACAGUGUUCACAUACUAUUUGUGUGUAUAUCUGUGUCCCAAGUCGCUAACAGCCAGGUCCGGGUGCAUAGCUAACUGCUAGCUGCAUGGCUAAGUCAUGACAGACAGUCAUAAUGUUAUUUUAUAAAAUCUCUACCUCGCCACUACCCGCCAUACUGUGUACCCGUUUCUCAAAUCGUCCUGCACGUGACCCGAUCUCAUCACAGGAUCCGGGUUUUUCCUUUCGUUAAUGACAUCUCUGUCAUUCAUUCCAGCCACCCGUAUCUUCUAGUUUAGUGCAUUUCGAAUGUUCGAAUAAAUUAAAGAGGUUAAAAAUUGACUUGGAUUCCAUGUGUGACGUUCAGUCCGCUCACUUUCCGGGUUGUCACGUCACGUGUUCCAGCCAGUCAUGUGACGUGUGCAUCUUGUCAUCAAGAUAUGCCACGACAACACAUGAACCACCCUACAGACUGAUACAGUGGUCUCAAAGUAGUUCCUAAUAUAAACCGAAGAAUUAGCAGCAUCUUGUCCGCACCCAGGGUGGAGCCUGAAGGUUUACUAAAACCACAACCCAGGGUGUCGUGGAGUUCAGCACGCACAGGAAGCGCCCCCUGGUCGAGUGGUUGGUGUGCAAACUACCUCCUGUAUUGUGACUUGCAAACACCUGGUGACUCAGUGAGGACCACAAGCUGCCACAGGACCAGACUUACCUCCACACACUGCACCCUGGACAUCUGAGACGUGUUGCAUAGGCGUAGCGAAUCGAGCGAAGCUAGCCAAUCUAGCCGGAAGUGUAAAGAGCGCGCCCCUACAAGCUAGCGAACCUAGACCCCUAGCGUAGCAAAGCUAGCGGCCUGUGGAGGUCCUACGCUUGCUAUUCAAAAUGGCCGACAUUGUUGUCGGUUUCAAGUUUGCAGAUGAGAGUUUCUUUGAUGCUCCCGUUAAAAAGGAAUAUUGGACCGGAUACAAAGUGAAACGAAUGUGGGAAAUCAAUGGACCAAGGGGGCAGUACUUCUCCUCAUGGACACUUAUGCCAAGCAUAAAGAACAAUUUGCAAUUCCAACUUGAAAAAAAUGGAGCAAUAUGAAAAUAUGGUACAAAGCUAUAGUAGAUUUCAACAAGAAAACGGGCCCGGGAAGAUCACAAUGGAAUUUCUAUUCCAGAAUGGCUGAAAUCUUGGAAGGAGACCCUUCAUUCAUCCCACCAGUGACAUCAUCAUCACUGGGGGGUGUAAAAGUAAACACUCUGUCCGAGAUCUCCAAUAGCCAGCAAUGUGCCACCCCUACAAAGGAGCAAGAACAGCAAGGAAUGUCUCAGGAGACUCCUCACCUCUCCCAGUAUCGGUUAUUAGUACGACCCUACUGAAUAAAGGAUAUUGUCACUGUCUUGAUUUUAGUACUAAAUAAAAAAACUUACACGCCCUUACAAAUGUCUUUUUUUUUUUUAAUGUGACCGUGAAAAACCCAAAAUUCCUGAUUUACCUGAUAAUCAUGUACACACUAAAGCACACUUGUUUCUACCAUGGAUUAGUAAAAUCAAAUGAAAAUUUAUUACAUGAUAAACACAUUACAUGAUAAUUAAAUGAGAAAUUAUAACUGGAAAAGUGUUGCAUCAAAGCUAAACACAAAAAGUGACACUAUAGUUAAUUUGAAAAGCACAAAACAUGACAUGCAUCUGGUGACAAAGCAAAUUAUUAAGGAUGGUGACAGGAAUUAAAGACAUGCACACUCCUCAAUUUACACGAAUAAAAACAAAUCAUAGUGGUGAUGCAAAUGCAAGAGAUGUGUAUAAAAAAAUUCAA
rnacentral:lncRNA from 1 species